rnacentral:rRNA from 1 species
AUGCAAGUCGAGGGGCAGCAUAAAGUACUUGUACUUUGAUGGCGACCGGCGAACGGGUGCGUAACGCGUAUGCAACUUACCUUUUACUAGAGAAUAGCCAAGAGAAAUUUUGAUUAAUGCUCUAUACUCUUUUUAACUCACAUGAGUUUUUAAGAAAAGCUCCGGCGGUAAAAGAUGGGCAUGCGUCCUAUUAGCUUGUAGGUGAGGUAACGGCUCACCUAAGCUCCGAUAGGUAGGGGUCCUGAGAGGGAGAUCCCCCACACUGGUACUGAGACACGGACCAGACUUCUACGGAAGGCAGCAGUAAGGAAUAUUGGACAAUGGAGGAAACUCUGAUCCAGCGACGCCGCGUGAAGGAAGACGGCCCUAUGGGUUGUAAACUUCUUUUAUACAGGAAGAAACCUUUCCACGUGUGGAAAGCUGACGGUACUGUAAGAAUAAGGAUCGGCUAACUCCGUGCCAGCAGCCGCGGUAAUACGGAGGAUCCAAGCGUUAUCCGGAAUUAUUGGGUUUAAAGGGUCCGCAGGCUGUUUGUUAAGUCAGGGGUGAAAUCCUACCGCUCAACGGUAGAACUGCCUUUGAUACUGGCAAACUUGAGUUAUUGUGAAGUAGUUAGAAUGUGUAGUGUAGCGGUGAAAUGCAUAGAUAUUACACAGAAUACCAAUUGCGAAGGCAGAUUACUAACAAUUAACUGACGCUGAGGGACGAAGCGUGGGUAGCGAACAGGAUUAGAUACCCUGGUAGUCCACGCCGUAAACGAUGGACACUAGCUGUUCGAUGUACAUUGGUACAUUGAGUGGCUAAGCGAAAGUGAUAAGUGACCCACCUGGGGAGUACGCUCGCAAGAGUGAAACUCAAGGAAUUGACGGGGGCCCGCACAAGCGGUGGAGCAUGUGGUUUAAUUCGAUGAUACGCGAGGAA